UUUUAAUAUUAUUAAAAAAUUAAUUUCAAAAUAUCAUCUAAACUUCAAAGCCUAAACUUUAGACUUAUAUAUAUAUCAUACCCCAAAUUAAACUUUUUUUUUUGAAACACACCGAGAUUAAUUAUAUAUUGUAAACUCUAACAAAAUCUUAAAAACUCUAAUAAUUUUAUUAUCUAACUUCGAAUCCUAAAUUUUAUCUCAAAACAUAAAAUCUAACCCUCCA
rnacentral:lncRNA from 1 species